AGUUCAUGUAGGAGGCGUAUGUAGAGCAGCGGGGUGAGGAAAAACAUGAAAGAAUUCAAUAGAAGUGUGAUCAAAAGGAGCGGGACAUUACGUGAGCUGUGGACCGUCUCUUGGAUGAUCUUCCUCUGUCCUCCACCAAUUAUUCGGAUCUGUUCUUCCCCCUUGCUUCUCUCCAGGUGAUUUGUUGUCCAGGAAAGGAAAAAAGAGCGUGGGCAACGGUCCAGGUGGGUUUCGUGAUAGUUGCCUUGUUUUGUUUUGGUUAUUAGUUAGAACCGGGUCAGAUUUUAGCCGCCCGACCCAUUUUUUUGGAAAUACAAGCAUACAAUUGUCCAUGGUAUUUGGACAUAGGUGUCAGCGCUUGAUUUGUCAGGAAAUUUGACUAUAAUAUAGUGCUUUUUACCUUUGUA